rnacentral:rRNA from 1 species
GGCCUAUUGAGAAUAAUUUUAGGUCUGGCCUGCCCAAUGAUUGAUUGUUGAAUGGCCGCGGUAAUUUGACCGUGCAAAGGUAGCAUAAUCACUAGUUUUUUAAUUGAAAGCUUGUAUGAAAGGUUUGAUGAAAGAAUAGCUGUCUCUGUUUAAAUUAAUUAGAAUUUUAUUUUUAAGUAAAAAAGCUUAAAUUUUUAUAGAAGACGAGAAGACCCUAUAGAGUUUUAUAAUUUAAAGUAAAAAAAAAUUUUAGAAUUUUGAUUUUUUUUAGGUUAAAUUAUUUGAUUGGGGUGAUUGAAAAAUUGAAUAAACUUUUUUUAUAUAGAAACAUUGAUUUGUGAAAUUUUGAUCCUUAAUUUAAGAUUAAAAGACGAAAUUACCUUAGGGAUAACAGCGUAAUUUUUUUUCAGAGUUCAAAUUAAAAAAAAAGAUUGCGACCUCGAUGUUGGAUUAAAAGAAAUUAUUGGUGUAGAAGCUAAUAGAUUAGGUCUGUUCGACCUUUAAAAUUUUACAUGAUCUGAGUUUAAACCGGCGUGRS